CGGCGGACCGAGCAACAGACAACUCGGGACCUCGAAAGAUAAAGCAGUUAGUACUCACCAUCAUUGACAACAAAGCAGACGGACUGAUCAUGGCAAGUAAUAUUCAGGCUCGAAGGGCCGAAUGGCCUACUCCUGCACCUAUUUUCUAUGUUUCUAGGUUUCUAGAUGAAAAAUGCUUUAAGGAAGUGCAAGAUCAGACCCGAGGACCUGGAGGAUGUUGCUGCUGACCGUAACACUUGGUGACAACUGUGUAGGGACGGGGU